rnacentral:rRNA from 1 species
GAUGAACGCUGGCGGCGUGCCUAAUACAUGCAAGUCGAGCGAACAGACGAGGAGCUUGCUCCUCUGACGUCAGCGGCGGACGGGUGAGUAACACGUGGAUAACCUACCUAUAAGACUGGGAUAACUUCGGGAAACCGGAGCUAAUACCGGAUAAUAUAUUGAACCGCAUGGUUCAAUAGUGAAAGACGGUUUUGCUGUCACUUAUAGAUGGAUCCGCGCCGCAUUAGCUAGUUGGUAAGGUAACGGCUUACCAAGGCAACGAUGCGUAGCCGACCUGAGAGGGUGAUCGGCCACGCUGGAACUGAGACACGGUCCAGACUCCUACGGGAGGCAGCAGUAGGGAAUCUUCCGCAAUGGGCGAAAGCCUGACGGAGCAACGCCGCGUGAGUGAUGAAGGUCUUCGGAUCGUAAAACUCUGUUAUUAGGGAAGAACAAAUGUGUAAGUAACUAUGCACGUCUUGACGGUACCUAAUCAGAAAGCCACGGCUAACUACGUG